rnacentral:rRNA from 1 species
CAGCGGUCCGGCCGGGAACUCAAAGGAGACUGCCAGUGAUAAACUGGAGGAAGGUGGGGAUGACGUCAAGUCAUCAUGGCCCUUACGAGUAGGGCUACACACGUGCUACAAUGGCGCAUACAAAGAGAAGCGACCUCGCGAGAGCAAGCGGACCUCAUAAAGUGCGUCGUAGUCCGGAUUGGAGUCUGCAACUCGACUCCAUGAAGUCGGAAUCGCUAGUAAUCGUAGAUCAGAAUGCUACGGUGAAUACGUUCCCGGGCCUUGUACACACCGCCCGUCACACCAUGGGAGUGGGUUGCAAAAGAAGUAGGUAGCUAACCUUCGGGAGGGCGCUACC